GGGAGACGGCGCGGCGACGCUCACCCCGGCUGCUCGUCCUCAGACAAAAGCCCGCGUCACCUGCCCGCGGCCGCCGGGACCUCGGGGCCCCUCUUUGCGGCCCGCUGGCGCCCUCUGGCUGCGCCCGGUCGGCCUGGGCGUACCCGCGGCCCCGGGAAGCCGGCGGCGCCCUCCUCACCUGGGCGGGGCGCCCUCCUCACCUGGGCGGGGCGGCGCGUCCUCCGCCCUCGCAGGCCCGGGACGCGGACGAAGGCCUCCGUCCUCCGUCCUUAGGGGAGGAUGCCACAGGCAGGUGCGUCCGCAGGCAACUGGGGGAGGUAAGUGCCUUUUCAACCAACAGGGGAAGAAAACAAGAAAACGUAUCGGAACUUUACAUGUCAAUCAAGCAGGGCGCCAGGGUCCACCCAGGACUGUGCCUGCCAGGUGUGCGGGGGACCCCGAGGCUACCCGCGCAGGGCCAGGUGACCGCAACAGACUGAAUGUUCGCCUUGUAACCAAAGGGCCUAGGAAAAAAAUGAGACGACAUAGGAAGGAAUGUCUGUUCGCCUCCAGUGCUCCUGGCGCCGUUCAUGAGGGCGAAAACCAGCCUUGCGAAGGUGUGACUGGAAAGCAGAUCACAGGUUACCAUAGAAAUAGAGGUACAGGCUCACACCAAGGCAAUGGCGUGUCUCCUCAGUGUGGUCUCCCAUCAGAUUUCGCUGUCCCCUCAAGGACUUUUUUUUUUAAGGAAUUUUCUUUAAUGAAAUCAUGAUGUAAUGGGCUGAUAGAGCCAUUAAUCUCGGAAUUUGUCGACAUGCAUCAAAUGGUGACCAAAAUGUCACAUCUCAAUCCUUUAUUACAUAAAAUCCAGUAUGGUGACGUGUGUAGUCUGAGUUUUACUCGUUCAUCCAACAUCUUACAUUUUUAAUGUGCGUGCUCUUGAAAAAAUUUUAAAAACAACUCACUCAGGGGCUUUAGGAAUAAGCAUCUGAAGCUCUGGAAUUGAGAAAAUUGUUAACAUUAACUACUGUGGAUGCCACUGGCUGCUUAGAUUAUGAACUAAUGGACUUGGACGCAUAUGGUAAAGUGCAAUCUGUGACAAAUUUCAUUACCUGUCGACAUUACACACACUAAAAUAAAAACUGCCUCACUCUCCAAAUGGAAUGAAUAUAUUCUUAAUAAACAAAGCUGCACUUC